AAAUUGAUCUGUCAAAUGGACAGGGAUUACAAAUUAAAGUAGAGGAUGUUGGAAUAUAUAGGCUUGGCCCAAAUAUUUACUCAAUUAAAAGAAUUAAAAACCCACUAAUAAAUACUAGAGAGUUAAAUGCUUAGUCCCACAUGGGGAUUUAAAGAGGAUUUUUACUGACUUAAAUGGUGAACUUUGAGUACACCUAAGCCAAUAAAAGAGAUUGGCGAGGCACGCGCGCGCUCUCACACGCCUCGCCGGGUCGGGCUGUGGGCGCGUGCCGUGCCGUGCUGUGCCGAGCCGAGCCGAGUGAGCGAAGCGAUGCAACUCGACAUGAUGUGUGCGGUGAACCUUUUGCAGGUCCUCAGAGUCAUCAAUUGAGACAAUCCAGUAACGACUAAGGAAUAAACUCGGGAAUAUUCCAACGGUUACGGGCUUG
rnacentral:lncRNA from 1 species